rnacentral:tRNA from 1 species
GCCGGGGUGGCGGAACUGGCAGACGCAGCGGACUUAAAAUCCGCAGACAGGCGCCGCCGGCA